rnacentral:misc_RNA from 1 species
GAUGUAGUGCACACUUGAUGAAGUCAGUAGAAAACUGUGCUGUUAUUAAACAUCAAGAGCAUCAACUGGCAGGGAGGUUGCUCUGUGGAGAGAACAUGGAAGCAAAUCUCCAGUAUAGAAACUCUUAGCAGAGACAAUUUGCUCAGGACUGUAUCCCAUUUUGAUUGCCUCAAAAUUUUGGACUAGUUGGUAUUCUGAAUUGGUGCAUCUCUUCUCAGUACCAGUAAGGAAAGUUGAACUUAAAUGCUUCCCAGAUGGAAGAGAUUUCAGGGAGGGUUUAUAUUUCUGU